CCUUUUAAAUAUCUUGUAUAAAUACAUAAGAUGUUCAUGAAUUCAAUAUUUUAUAAAAACAAAUUCUAAAAUGCCAACUUAUAGGAAAAACUCAGAUAACCAAAAUUUUCCGUUGUUAUCAAACCACAACAAAGAGCAACAAAAAAGACAAAAGUUUCGGACUUGGUCUUAUCUGCUGGGGAACCGAAAAAUUUCUCGUUUUUCAAUAAUCGAAACAGAUGAGAGCAAUACAAAAAAUUAUCAGUCAAAAGAAAGUCUCAGGUUGAACUUGCUUCGGAGUAAAUACUUAGAAAAUACAAAAUUGGAACUACUUAAUUGUCUUUAUGAAGAUCAGUGCGCUAAUUUUGAUCAAAUGAUAAAAGCACUAAGUGUUUAUAUCAGUCUAAUGGAUAAAAAACUUAUUAUUCUUGAAGCCUGCUAUAAAGGUUGUUUUAGUUGCUUUAAAGUUUUGAUACAAAAUGAAUUCCCUCUUGACUUUAGCUUAAAUGAUCACUGGUCGCCUCUUCAUGCUGCAGUAAUGGGUGAGAGCGAAGAAAUUGUCCGAUUUUUAACUACAUAUUACAAAAAUGUAAACUUUAUAAACAUUUUAAAUGGAAUAACACCACUCCAUAUUGCGGUAUAUAAAGACAAUUUGAUUCUGGUGCAUUUAUUAGUACGAGCUUCUGCAGAAAUUUUUUUAUCCUUUCGAUUUAUGACUCCAUUUCAAUUAGCAAUAAAUUUCAAACGUAGCGCUAUACUGGACUAUUUUAUUUUGUGCACAACAAAUUUAAAAUCAAAUUUUAUUUCUGUUUCACAGUCUUCAAUCUAAAGAAUGUUUUAAAGAGGGUAGGGCAGGGUUAGAUGUCUUCUCGUGGUAAAAAACCACCUGUGCCUAUGUGAGUGGGAGUAAAAAAGCCACAGCUUUAGCAGUUUUAUCGGUAAGUGCUUCUGCUUCAACCCAUUUACUGAAGUAGUCGAUUAAUACAACAAGAUAUUUGCAACCGUUAACUUCUGGUAGCUGAGUUAAAUCGAUUCCUACCUGCUUCAUAUUGCCUUUAGGAAUUGAAAUAUUUUGCAGCAAUGGUUUUGACUAAAGUUUUCUGUUCUUUGACUUUUGGCAUUGGUCACAUUUGGAAACAUAAGUUGUAAUAUCUUUUAUCAUUCUAUACCAGAAAAAUCUACUUUGAAUGUGAUAGGUUGUGUUAUUAAUACCUGUAUGACCAGAUAAAGCGUUAGACUCAACAGAGACGUCGUUUCCUUCAUGAACAAACAUUAUCAUGUCUUGUUGUUCAUCUCUACUCUAAAUGACUUUUCUCUAAAAAAAAAAAGAAGCUGUAAACCAUCAAUAUAAUGAGAAUCAAAACUAAAUUAGUUUUCAUUAUUUAUUAAAUAAAUUAUUUGUAAA